rnacentral:rRNA from 1 species
UACGGGGGGUGCAAGCGUUAUUCGGAAUCAUUGGGCGUAAAGGGCGCGUAGGCGGUCUUUUAAGUCAGAUGUGAAAGCCCUCGGCUUAACCGAGGAAGUGCAUUUGAUACUAAAAGACUUGAGUAUGGGAGAGGGAAGCGGAAUUCCUGGUGUAGCGGUGAAAUGCGUAGAUAUCAGGAGGAACACCGGUGGCGAAGGCGGCUUCCGGGACCAAUACUGACGCUGAGGCGCGAAGGCGUGGGGAGCAAACAGG